AGAGUUUGAUCCUGGCUCAGAGCGAACGCUGGCGGCAGGCCUAACACAUGCAAGUCGAGCGCCCCGCAAGGGGAGCGGCAGACGGGAGAGUAACACGUGGGAACGUGCCCUUUGGUUCGGAACAACACAGGGAAACUUGUGCUAAUACCGGAUAAGCCCUUACGGGGAAAGAUUUAUCGCCAAAGGAUCGGCCCGCGUCUGAUUAGCUAGUUGGUGAGGUAACGGCUCACCAAGGCUACGAUCAGUAGCUGGUCUGAGAGGAUGAUCAGCCUCACUGGGACUGAGACACGGCCCAGACUCCUACGGGAGGCAGCAGUGGGGAAUAUUGGACAAUGGGCGCAAGCCUGAUCCAGCCAUGCCGCGUGGAUGAUGAAGGCCCUAGGGUUGUAAAGUCCUUCG
rnacentral:rRNA from 1 species